AAGGAUUUAAGUUAAUUAAACUAGUAGCCUUCAAAGCUGCCAUUAGACUUUAAUCUAAGCCUUG
rnacentral:tRNA from 1 species